AUGAACGCUGGCGGCGUGCCUAAUACAUGCAAGUCGAACGAGUUCUGAUUAUUGAAAGGUGCUUGCAUCUUGAUUUAAUUUUGAACGAGUGGCGGACGGGUGAGUAACACGUGGGUAACCUGCCCUUAAGUGGGGGAUAACAUUUGGAAACAGAUGCUAAUACCGCAUAAAUCCAAGAACCGCAUGGUUCUUGGCUGAAAGAUGGCGUAAGCUAUCGCUUUUGGAUGGACCCGCGGCGUAUUAGCUAGUUGGUGAGGUAACGGCUCACCAAGGCAAUGAUACGUAGCCGAACUGAGAGGUUGAUCGGCCACAUUGGGACUGAGACACGGCCCAAACUCCUACGGGAGGCAGCAGUAGGGAAUCUUCCACAAUGGACGCAAGUCUGAUGGAGCAACGCCGCGUGAGUGAAGAAGGCUUUCGGGUCGUAAAACUCUGUUGUUGGAGAAGAAUGGUCGGCAGAGUAACUGUUGUCGGCGUGACGGUAUCCAACCAGAAAGCCACGGCUAACUACGUGCCAGCAGCCGCGGUAAUACGUAGGUGGCAAGCGUUAUCCGGAUUUAUUGGGCGUAAAGCGAGCGCAGGCGGUUUUUUAAGUCUGAUGUGAAAGCCCUCGGCUUAACCGAGGAAGUGCAUCGGAAACUGGGAAACUUGAGUGCAGAAGAGGACAGUGGAACUCCAUGUGUAGCGGUGAAAUGCGUAGAUAUAUGGAAGGACACCAGUGGCGAAGGCGGCUGUCUGGUCUGUAACUGACGCUGAGGCUCGAAAGCAUGGGUAGCGAACAGGGAAUUAGAUACCCUGGUAGUCCAUGCCGUAAACGAUGAAUGCUAGGUGUUGGAGGGUUUCCGCCCUUCAGUGCCGCAGCUAACGCAUUAAGCAUUCCGCCUGGGGAGUACGACCGCAAGGUUGAAACUCAAAGGAAUUGACGGGGGCCCGCACAAGCGGUGGAGCAUGUGGUUUAAUUCGAAGCAACGCGAAGAACCUUACCAGGUCUUGACAUCUUUUGAUCACCUGAGAGAUCAGGUUUCCCCUUCGGGGGCAAAAUGACAGGUGGUGCAUGGUUGUCGUCAGCUCGUGUCGUGAGAUGUUGGGUUAAGUCCCGCAACGAGCGCAACCCUUAUGACUAGUUGCCAGCAUUUAGUUGGGCACUCUAGUAAGACUGCCGGUGACAAACCGGAGGAAGGUGGGGAUGACGUCAAAUCAUCAUGCCCCUUAUGACCUGGGCUACACACGUGCUACAAUGGAUGGUACAACGAGUUGCGAGACCGCGAGGUCAAGCUAAUCUCUUAAAGCCAUUCUCAGUUCGGACUGUAGGCUGCAACUCGCCUACACGAAGUCGGAAUCGCUAGUAAUCGCGGAUCAGCACGCCGCGGUGAAUACGUUCCCGGGCCUUGUACACACCGCCCGUCACACCAUGAGAGUUUGUAACACCCGAAGCCGGUGGCGUAACCCUUUUAGGGAGCGAGCCGUCUAAGGUGGGACAAAUGAUUAGGGUGA
rnacentral:rRNA from 1 species